UACGAAGGGGGCUAGCGUUGCUCGGAAUCACUGGGCGUAAAGCGCACGUAGGCGGCUUUCUAAGUCAGGGGUGAAAUCCUGGAGCUCAACUCCAGAACUGCCUUUGAUACUGGAGAGCUAGAGUCCGGAAGAGGCGAGUGGAAUUCCUGGUGUAGCGGUGGAAUGCGCAGAUAUCAGGAGGAACACCAAUGGCGAAGGCAGCUCGCUGGGACGGUACUGACGCUAAGGCGCGAAAGCGUGGGGAGCAAACAGGG
rnacentral:rRNA from 1 species